GCUUCUUCCCAGAAUGCUUUGGGCUGAGGCUGGCGACUCCUAUACUGCUGUCUGGCGUCGGAACACUCGAGGCCGAGGUCACGAAUCCACUGUCCGCUGCGAGGAGUCGUUACCCGAGCAGGGCUGCUCCGGCGACGUCGGCGGCGUGAGCGGCACGCUGCAGUGGUUCUGCUCCCUGGCGAGGCCCUGGACUGCGGGAGCGGGCGGGGGCGGCUCCGCCGGCAGCUGGCCCUGGGCGAUCAGCACAAAAGCAGCUGGAAAUAGCGUCGGCGCGCAAAGUGCUCGUGGGCUGUCCACCCUCUGCCACACGCAUCCAUCACGGUCCUCGCGUGGCCCUCUUAUUGCAGGUAUGAAUCCUCAUUUGUUUAAUGACGUAUUGUUCACACCGCGUGUUUACAUCUCUUUAUUACACCGCCUUCAACCGUCCAUCAUGUGUACUUAUUUAUUUUUAACAAAGAAGGGCAAUAAUUCGGGUCUUAUUGCAAUCUCCGUAGCGGCGGGCAGCCCGCGUGCCAUUAACCACCGCCGAGGCUUCUGUGAUGUAUAUUUUUAAUCUAUAAAGCCCCUUAUAACCUUGGUUAUGUACAUCAAGAUGACAAUAAAGUCAGCAGGUAGUGUGAUCUCCUCGUGAUUACACCGCUGCCCUUGCAAUAUCUCCUUUGCCCCCAAAGCACCAGACCUCCGUUGGAGCAGUAAUGGGUCAUCAAAUUCAAUAAAAAAAUGGUGAAAAAAAAGAAAAAAAGACAGUUAUGCCUUUAAUGGGCCGAGCUGAAGGAUGAGUCAUUAAAUACUGUACGAAAAUGGCCUCCAGGUGGCGUUGGGUGCACCCGAAGUGAAAGGAUGAGAUAUUUGAAAAAACAAAAAGCAUACAGCAGGGUCUCUCAGCCUUUCUUUUUGGUCAACAUACAAAAGAUGAC